GCUUAGAGUUUGAUCCUGGCUCAGGACGAACGUGGCCGGCCAUGCUUAACACAUGCAAGUCGAACGAGAGGAGAAGGAAGCUUGCUUGUUUCAAUCUAGUGGCAA
rnacentral:rRNA from 1 species